CCUUGACAGUUACAUGGUGUAGCUGACAGUAGCCAAGACAAGGAGAUUAACAUG
rnacentral:ncRNA from 1 species